rnacentral:tRNA from 1 species
AGAGAGGUGACCGAGUGGUUGAAGGUGCUCGCCUGGAAAGUGAGUAUACCCCAAAAGGGUAUCGGGGGUUCGAAUCCCUUCCUCUCUG